GUUCUCCUGCUGCUGCUCUGGGAGAGGAGGUGGAAGAGUCUGGAUGGAGAUGGCAGCAGAGGGGCAGUCUGGCAGAAUGGCACCUGAUGUUGAAGUGCAUAUGAAGCAAAGGAUCAAUCUCUGACAGUGCAGUGAGAUACUUCCUGAACACACAGCGAUCAAUAGGAUCUGUUUUGAGUAACUCACCAGGAAUGGGAGCAGAUAUGAUGGCAACCAAAAAGAGAUUUUUCAACAGAAGGACUUUUAAUUUGAAAAUGUAAUGUACUGAAAUUCUGUUCUGGGCGAGAUAAUCUUAACUUUAUCAUAUGAAACGGGAAAAAAUUCUGAAAACGUAACUGUUUUUCAGUCUUCUUUUUGUCUUGCUUUCCUUUUAAGAUUGCCUAUCAGUAUAAAAAUGUGAAUCUUCACAGAUGGUAUUUGCAAGUCCUAUACAAGAAAAAGCUGAAAUAAUCUUAAAAAACAAAAACCAACACCAUUUGUCAUUCAGUAUAACAAUGAGAUUUUUGAUGGUACUGCAUCAAAGCAGAGUAGCUACUGGAUUGUAAAAGAAAUCACAUUUGUGUUUUUGGAAAUCAUAGAUGGCAGGGUUUCAUAUUAAAUGAAAUCUGUUUUCACAACAGUUUUUUGUAUUUUUUUUUUUUCUGGUCAAAAGUAUCUCCUCAGGUUUUAUUCUAUUUGGUUUUGUUUUUACAGGUUUUGCUAUUUACAUUUUUCUAGUUGUAUUAGCUUUGUAGUUCCAAACUUACUUGUUUCAGUAAUGUGAACUGGAGGACACUGUCAUUUUAUUUGCUAUCUUUUUCUGUCACAUGUACAUACAGUUACUGUACUGUAUUGUACUGUACUGUACUGUAUGUUACUGUAAUCAGAGGAUGUAAAAACUGAGUAUUAUAAACACAAUGUCACAUUUUCUUUCCUCUGCUGUAUCUGUUCUUUGGUGUUGUUCUGUUUUGUUUUGAUGUACACAUUACGAGGUGAGUGUAUUAAUUGGGCCAGAAUUCCAGCUCUUAGCACUCUUUUGAAGUCUGGUUUCACUCCAAGGUAGCUUCUGUUUUAUGUAAAAGAAAUGAAAAAUCCUUUUUGUUUUGCACCUGUAAGAUAUGGAAUCAAAUUACCAUUGGCUUUUCUCUAGGCUCUAAUUUUCAUUCCUGUGAUGUAACAAACUUCAUGUUAAUUCACUUUCAAGUAAGGGCUGUCACAUUAGCCAGAAUCAGAUGGUGUGAAGCUGUUUUAUUUUCACUCAGGUGAAACUGUCACUGAACAUAACUGUAGGGCAAAUUUCAAGUAUUGCAGAUGCUCCAUCUGCUUGGAUAUUAGAUUUCUGACAAUUAUGUUUAGAUAAAAAGAUUGUGGGUCAUGGAGGAGGAUGAAGUGAAAACCAUGUCCUUGUGAUGUGCAAGAAACAGAGGGCAAAUGAUUCUUAGUUAUAGUUUAUUUUAUUGAUUAUCUACAGUGAGAGGACUGAAGGACUUGUAAGAGUUUGGCUAUCAUGACAAACAAAGUGUUUUCUUACUGCAGUGUUAAAUGAUUUAGCUUGGGGUGACAAGUCUGUGUCAUUGCAGGUUUGUGGGGAGAGGGAUGGAGGAAAUGCUGUCUGUAUUCUAGAUGUAAUGAGGUACUGAGAUAUAUGCCAGUGUGUAUUUUUGUAACUGUAAUUAUGUUGGAAAUCAACUCAAUCACAUUCUACUUAAAUAUACAUAUAUUUUACAAAUAGUAAACUGACCAUUAACUUUUUAAAGAAACCAGUGCACCAAGGACAGAAAAAAGAUGAUUAAAAUGAUUUAUUUUAGUUCAUUAGAAGUUUAUGAGUAACAAAUACAGAACUUCCUGAACAUAUUGCUAAAAAAUAGGACAGAUAAUUAAUAAAUUGCAACAGUUGAGUAAACUCAUAUAUAUAUUACAUAUAUAUAAUAAUAUAUAUAUAUUUAUAUUUACUAUCCCACACACAGUUAAAGUAUAGUCCCAUGGAAUAAGAUCUAAGUCGUGUUUAAUAUUUAAUGAAAUCUCAUCAGAUGUUUUAUAUGAAAAGUGAAUUUUCAUGGUUGUUUCAAAGCUCAUUAAAAUGAUUCAUUC
ensembl:lncRNA